rnacentral:tRNA from 1 species
GCCCCCAUCGUCUAGUGGCCUAGGAUAUCGCGUUCUCAGCGCGGAGACCGGGGUUCGAGUCCCCGUGGGGGUA